UACGGAGGAUGCAAGCGUUAUCCGGAAUGAUUGGGCGUAAAGCGUCCGCAGGUGGCAAUGUAAGUCUGCUGUCAAAGCGUCUGGCUCAACCAGAUAAAGGCAGUGGAAACUACAUAGCUAGAGUAAGGUAGGGGUAGAGGGAAUUCCUGGUGUAGCGGUGAAAUGCGUAGAUAUCUGGAGGAACACCGGUGGCGAAGGCGGCGUCCUGGACCAACACUGACACUGAUGAGCGAAAGCCAGGGGAGCAAACGGG
rnacentral:rRNA from 1 species